GACGAACGCUGGCGGCGUGCCUAACACAUGCAAGUCGAACGAGAUCCAUGGGAGCUUGCUCCCGGAAGAUCUAGUGGCGAACGGGUGAGUAACACGUGAGAAACCUGCCCUGGAGUGGGGAAUAACUCGGGGGAAACUCGAGCUAAUACCGCAUACCCUCGGAUGGUCGCAUGGCCGACCGAGGAAAAGAUUUUAUCGCUCUAGGAGGGUCUCGCGGCCUAUCAGCUAGUUGGUGGGGUAACGGCCUACCAAGGCAACGACGGGUAGCUGGUUUGAGAGAACGAUCAGCCACACUGGGACUGAGACACGGCCCAGACUCCUACGGAGGCAGCAGUGGGGAAUCUUGCGCAAUGGGCGAAAGCCUGACGCAGCAACGCCGCGUGCGGGAU
rnacentral:rRNA from 1 species